rnacentral:rRNA from 1 species
AUUGAACGCUGGCGGCAGGCCUAACACAUGCAAGUCGAGCGAGCGGCGGACGGGUGAGUAAUGUAUGGGGACUGCCCGAUAGAGGGGGAAAACUACUGGAAACGGUGGCUAAUACCGCAUACUAUCGGAUAACCCAUAUGGGAUUAGCUAGUAGGGAAGGUAAUGGCUUACCUAGGCGACGAUCCCUAGCUGGUCUGAGAGGAUGAUCAGCCACACUGGGACGUGUACACGGCCGAUGUUCCUACGGGGGCAGCAUUGGGGAAUAUUGCAAAAUGGGCGCAAGCCUGAUGCAGCCAUGCCGCGUGUAUGAAGAAGGCCCUAGGUUUGUAAAGUACUGUCAGUCGGGAGGCGUUACCGACAGAAGAAGCACCGGCUAACUUCGUGCCAGCAGCCGCGGUAAUUC